AUCAUGGCAAAGUCCUCCACCUGCUUCUGCUCCAGGUGUUUCUUCUGCAAUACCAGACGGAAUAUUCUGGCACAGCGAGACCCGAAUCUGGGAAGGAACAAAGAAACACAUGGGCUGCUGGUCUGGCCCAGAGCCUUGUACAUUGUGAGUGAGGCGCUACCGAAUGAUGGCAGUCCCGGGCUGUUUUGAUUUUCAUUAAUGUAACUCACUGAAAGUUCACAGAAAAUUAAUAGAAAGUUAUUUCAACUUUU